rnacentral:rRNA from 1 species
UACGUAGGGUGCGAGCGUUAAUCGGAAUUACUGGGCGUAAAGCGUGCGCAGGCGGUUCGUUGUGUCUGCUGUGAAAUCCCCGGGCUCAACCUGGGAAUGGCAGUGGAAACUGGCGAGCUUGAGUGUGGCAGAGGGGGGUGGAAUUCCGCGUGUAGCAGUGAAAUGCGUAGAUAUCCGGAAGAACACCGAUGGCGAAGGCAACCACCUGGGCCUGUACUGACGCUGAGGUACGAAAGCGUGGGGAGCAAACAGG